ACUCCCUCAGGGUCGUACCUGGAGAGUUUUCAGUACUCUACCAGUCUCAAUUAUGGGAGGAAGAGUCAAGCAGAUGCCUACCCAUUCCAUUCCUAAAUUGGCCAGUGGCUAGCAAGUGGAAGGCAAUCUGCUACAAGU